CGAAACUGCGUGAUCGCAUUUUAUUUUCGCUUUCUCUCUCUCUCUUCGCUCCCUCGCGAGCACAACAGCUGUUCGCCCGCCAAAGGCGAUCGGUCAGUCGAGCGUUUGGACUCCGUGCGCGCGAGCUGUUCUGCUUCCUCGGUGAAAGAAAAAGUUAUGCCUCUGGUUCGCGAACGCCGCCGUUCGAGAACGUCGCGGUGGUAAAAAAAAAAAAAAAAAUGCGAGCGGACGCUGCGGCGUUCCUCUCCCCGCGUGGUUCUCAGCCGCGCGAUAUGUCCUUUCGCGAGUGCGAGGUGGCGAGCGGACCUUGGAGGUCGUCUGGCGACAAACCCGUUCAGCUGGUGGAUAACGGCGAUCAGCGUCAUGAUGGGGGCAGCGGCGGCCCCCGUGUGGAUGACUAAUGGAGGAGGCUGUGGUGGCUACUACCACUGCAGGCAGUGCCAGCUGGGAGCGGUGAAUCGUCGUUCCCCGGUGGUGAUCGCUGCCCCCCUGACCCGUGAGGAGGGGCUGGCAGGCGGCCGCGCCAUGAACGGCCCCGAAGGGGGCGGCGGACCCGCCGCCCCCGUCGCCGGGGGGUUGCCGGGCACCUCGCCGCCGUGGGCGCCCCCUCGACACGCGGUGCCCAAACGCAAGAUGGCCGUGGCGCACGGCCCGCUGGUGCCGCGCAAUGCGUCUCCGGGCCAAGAGCUGAGGCCGUGCGCCGAGAUGCUGCAGCAGGGCGGCCUGCUGGUCGCCGGAACCGUGGACCUGGCCUCGUCCGCCAGGGAUCCCGCGGUCACGUCCAGAGACCUACUACUCCCAGGUGGCGCGUGUCGAGUGUCGUCGCCACGCGACUUCCACCGGCCGUCCAGGGAGCACCGGUCUUCGAGGGAUUCUCGAGAGCUCCCGCUCAGGAUAGACGUGGGCGCUCCUGGAGCCUCUAGAGACUAUAAUCUGUCAUCGUCCCCCGGUGACUUCUGCUUUCCCCCGAGAGACGUUACCAGAGACGUCGCCAGCUCGUCGCCCUCGACGAGGCUGUCCCGGAGUGGCGACUCGGCGCGUCCCAAGGACUCGACGUCAUUGUCCGGCGCCAGUAGCAACAGCAUCAUGAGUGCCUGUUCCUCGACUUCGGUAACCCCCGUAGUGACUCCGGUGACUCCGCCCGCUGCAGUGACCGGUUGCAGCGGUGACGUGAACAUGCCCAGCACGGUCUACGGUUCCAGCCCGGGCCGCAAGCUGGAGGACACGCUUGCCGGCCUGAGGCUGGCGCCGCCGCGCGAGAGCGUGCUGGUUCGCGGUCCGGGACUGUCGUCCGCGACGACGAGGCCGCAGGUGACCAGUCCGCAGAUCCUCGAGCAGCACAUCAGCAAGAUCAUCUCCGAGAACGCCGCCAUCGUAGAGACGCUCGACCCGUUAUGGACCAAGCGGUACAUGCGCCACAACAGUUCGAGCAGCAGCAGUUCUUCGACGACCAGCGGCGUCUGUAGCGGCGAAUCGUCGCGAAGCGGAAGUUUAGGCAGCAGCACCACCAGUAGUGCGCGAAAGUGGAGUCUCGACCCUUCGGCGACGGCGCUGCGAGGUCGCUUGAACCCGCGGAGGGUCUCCGAGAGCGCCCUGGUGCGCGCGUCCGUCGCGUCGCCUUCCUCCUCGUCGGCGGUCGUCCCCGCGUCUCCCCCGAUCGCUUCCGUGACGUCCACCGUCGCCGGCUCCGCGUCGUCGCCCCCGGACGCUCCUGACGGCAGCAUCAUCCGCGACCUGCUGCUGCGGCACCGGGGCGAAGGUGUCGACGCCGCCGCGGGUGCCGCCUGCCCCAAGUGCGGCAUCUGGUUCCGGAGCGCGGCCACCCUGGAGGUGCACCUGGAGCACUACUGCAAGGCGCCCAACCCACCGCCCAAGAAGCGCAAGAUAUCGGAACCCGUGCUCUCGUCUCACCACGCGGCGGCCGCGUCGCGCUUCCCGUUUCCCCCGGUGUCGACCCGGGCCGCCGACGACAUGAUGACCGGCCGGGUCGCCGCCUGCAGUUCCGUCGGCGGUGGAAGUUGUAGAAGCAACAGUGUGGCGUCGUUCCUGCCGGGUCCGUCGACCUUCGACGGUAAGGCGCCACCGCUGCCGGGACCACCCGCAGCCUCCGCGCCGGCGCUUCCACCGCUUCCGCCCCUGGUGGCGUCCACUCCGCCCUCGAUGUCACCCCCGGUCCUGACGGCUGCGCCCGUGGUGACCAGCACGGCGACCCCUUCGCCGGCCCUUCUGGCUCCACCCCUGAGGGCAAACAGGCCCACGUCGCUAGCCCUGGGCAGUGGUGCGUCAACGCUGGUCGGCUCCACGCUGGUCAGCCCCGAGACGCCCCGGCCCAAGAAGACAUGUCAGCAACUGUACAUCAACGGUCAUGCGUACACCUACCUGGGACUCAAGUGCUCCACGCGCUCGACCUACUGCUGCAUCUACCGGCCGCAGCCCAUGUACGUGGCGCAGGAGGCGGCGCCCCCGGGACUGUCCAUGUACUCGGAUUGGCGCGUGGUACCCGUUGCCGACCCAGUGCCUGGCGUGACGCACGUGCGCCUCUUGACGCACUACGACUCCCGCCAGUGGCUCCACACGGGCGCUGGCCGCACCACCAUGAGUCCCUGUGGGGCAGCGGCGCCCCUGGUGACCCACUCCAGUUACUGGCUCUACCGCAGCCGCGCACCUCCUAAGGAGCCGCCUAGGGAGGCCACAGCGAUGGAGUCUGAAACAAGUGCUACAUCUCCACAAGCCAGUGUUGACAUGGACGAGCCCAUGCCCUCAGAGGCUACGGCGCCAGAGGAACCAAUGAUGGAGUCUGUUCCAGAUGCCAGUGUGGCCACUGCAGAGCCUCCUCAGGUGGUGCAGCCAGUUGUGCCUUCAAUACCAAUACCAGCCAUGCCUCAGGUGGCACCACUGUUGCCGCCAACAUUACCCCCACCACCAGUGCCUCCUGCCGCACCAGUGCCAAUGGCAACAUCGUCUGAGGGUCCAGGCAGUCCGAUGCAGACGGAUCCAGUGGCAGUGUCAAAGGAAGACACCGUGGCUACUGCAGCCGACGGAAAUGGAAGCAGCGGCAGCCCGAAGCGAGUCCGCAUCUUCGAAGGGGGCUUCAAGUCCAACGAGGCGUACACUUAUGUGCGCGGUCGCGGGCGUGGCAAGUACGUCUGCGAGGAGUGCGGCAUCCGGUGCAAGAAGCCGUCGAUGCUCAAGAAGCACAUCCGGACGCACACGGACCUGCGGCCUUUCUCCUGCCACCACUGCUGCUUUGCCUUUAAGACCAAGGGCAAUCUGACCAAGCACAUGAAAUCCAAGGCACACCACAAGAAGUGCACCGAGCUGGGCAUUCUCCCGGUACCCACCACGGUGGAUGACUCGACCCAGGUGGAUCCGGACACGCUCGCCCGACAGGAGCAGCAGCAACGCGAACGGCCUGCUUCAGAGGACGACGAAGAGGAGGAAGAGGAGGAGGAGGAAGAGGAAGAAGACGAUGAGGAGGAGGAGGAAGAAGAUGAGGAGGAGGAGGAUGACGAAGGCACACCCAUUGGCUUGUUGGCAGUGGCGGCACCAUCAGCAGCACCUCUACCGCCUCUGUCCAGUGGCCCUCCUCCGCUGAGCAUUGCCUGCAACAUCCCAGUGAUCACUCUGACCGGCCCACCCAACAGCGCCUCACCACUGGCGCCUCCACCGAUCGCAUCCAUGGUGGCCACUUGCCAAGUCUCCGAAGAGCAGGAAGCCGCGCGUAGCCUUCUGCACCUAUCGGCUCACGUUCCGGAUGCCGCCGCAUGGCCCGGUGACGGAGGACCGGUGAUGGCUCCCACGUCAAGAACGUCUCCAAUCUCCAUUGCGGCCAGCACCGGCCUGAUGGUUGCACCAGCCACAUUUGUUGGUGGAACUGGCUCCCCCAGCAACCCCGGAACCUCCUCCGAGCUCACCGUUCCAGAAGCUGGCUCUUGGCCGCAAGGCGGCCUUCCGUGGCUAAGCAGCCCCCCCGCAGGCCACAGGCCUCGCUCUUUCUCCAUGGAGAUGCACGAAAGAGCUGCUGGUAUUGCCGAGGCGGAACCGACCCGGCGCUACUCCAUGUCGUCGCUUGGCCGGCACCCUGACGAGGGUCCCAUGGACCUCAGCACGGCCAGGCAGCGACGCCUGGAGAUUCUUCCAGGCGGCUACGUCUCGGGCCACAACGUGCGCUCUUAUGCCCGAGAGGGCGGGCUCCUGGGCACGUGCCUCGAACUGGGGGGCCCCGGAUCUGCCGGCAUCCCGCCCCAUCCCCACGGGGUACCAGUGGUAUCCCCGAGCAGCGAGUCCAUUGGAACUGCUGUGAGUGGCGGCGAGGAAGGCCGCUGCGGGAUCUGCCACAAGAGCUUCACAAAAGCCAGCCAGCUGCGGAUGCACGUCAACAUCCACUACUUUGAGCGGCCAUUCCGGUGUGAGGCAUGCGCUGUCUCAUUCCGAACUCGGGGGCACCUGCAGAAGCACCGGCGGUCGGUGGGCCACUACAACCGGCUCAACAUGAACCUGGCGUUUGGUGCCCCAUCAGCUGACAACCCGCGGCCGUUCAAGUGUGCGGACUGCCAGAUUGCAUUCCGCAUCCACGGCCAUCUGGCCAAGCACCUGCGUUCCAAGAUGCACAUCCUCAAACUCGAGUGCCUGGGAAAGCUGCCCUUUGGCAUGUACGCUGAGAUGGAGCGCUCAGGCGUCAACCUCAACGAGAUUGACACCUCUGACUGCGACAACUCACUCGAAAGUUUGCAGGUCAUGGCACAAAAGCUGUACCAGCACGGCGAACCAACCGUGGGGUCGCCUGUGGCGUCACCUGUGGGUGUGGCGGACAGUGUGAGCCCGCUCAGGAGUGGGGGCAGCCCGCCACCUGUCAUAGAGGCCCCGCCUCCUCCUGCGUGGGAGGGUGGGGCACUGCGGCCCUGCCACUUGUGCGGCCGCCUCCUCAAGAGCGCCAAAUCGCUCCAGGUGCACCUACACUGCGACCACCAAGCGGGCGCGGGGAUCCAGCAACCGGAUGACGAGGUGGGGGCUGUCGCCCAAGUCCACUCCCCCCCUCUCGCCACGCCCUGGCUCUGCUCCAUCUGUCAGAAGGCAUUCCCAUCGCAGGCACUACUCCAGCAGCACUUUCUGUCACACACACAGCCAAGGCCUUACGUGUGUGAUCAGUGUGACGCCGGCUUCACUUCAGCUCUGCUCCUGACCAAUCACGUUGCAAACAGCCACCCUGCUGCAGCGGACAACAUACUCCCACCUAGGGUGCCUCUCGUUCAGAGCCCUGUCCUGUCCACCGUCUGAGCACCGCCUUGUGUUAGUGCGGACAUUGGCCGUUGCUCAGCUGAAGUGGCAAAAGAAAUGAUUGCACAGGACAACGGCGGGCGACGCAACCACGACGGGCUUCGUUUCUUGGCGACACCCUUCGCAUUGCCUUGUGCGCCUUCGAGCACGAACUGUGGCAGUGGCUGUAAAGAAGCACCAUUACCAUUUCCCGCCAUGUCUGACCACCACACUGUCCCACUAUAUAUAUAUAUAUAUAUAUU
rnacentral:misc_RNA from 1 species